CAGGUAUCUUCGUAGUUCAUUUGAGGGGGAUGGAUAUCCUUCUGGAUCCUUAAUGUUUAGAAGGUUUAAGAAAUGGGACAGAAUGUCAGUAACUGAUUACAAACCAAUUUGCUGAAUGCAGCUGUUAAUUAACCCUAAUUACCACUAGGAUGAGACACUUUAAUUAAUGUUCAUUGUCAGCAAGAAAACCAAAUGUGCUGUAAAAUGAACAGACAUGGACAAAUGCAACUUUCCUCACAUUGGACUGAUGUAAAAGAUACAGUUUUUUAGAGAAUUUUCUGAAGUCUCUAAUUCUGAAGCUGUGAAUGCUGUUUGUUGACAUUUUAGACAGUGGUUUUAAUUUGUACCUUGACUACCUUGGUGAUAUAUAUCAGUUUGUAAAAAAAAAUAAUCUAAUUAAACCUGAUCCUGUAACUUCUGGGAUCCAUUCAUUCUACACUAUUUUACAUUUUGCUUUUAUUAAUAGUACAACAGAUAGAUCUUCAACAAACAUGCAGAACCAUUUUCAGUGUCUGCCGUAUAACGGCACAUUGAUUAAGGCCAGGACCAUAAUAGCUUUGAAGAUAUUAAUACAAAAUUUGCAGAAUUCUUUAAUGGUUCAUUCUUUGCUAUCAUUGUCUUUACUUUUGCUCUGUUGUUACAUUUCAGUUUCUAUUUUCUCUCAGGUAUAGCUUCCACACAAGUAAUUUGGGUUGCAUUACAUAGACUGUACCUGUUUAACUGCAAUCACAGCGUUCUCCUGCAUACAUGCUGUAGUGGUUGUAUGCAUGUUUUCAUCUUUCUCAAUGCACAAAGUCAGUAAGACAUUUAUGUGAAAAUAUGAAAUUUUGUACAACAAAACAAAUCUACAAUCACCACAAUGGGGCGUACUUCAAAUUUUUUCCAAAAUAAAUCCUCAUUGUUAUAGAA